rnacentral:rRNA from 1 species
GACGAACCGUGCGAACGUUGUUCGGAUUCACUGGGCUUAAAGGGCGCGUAGGCGGGUGAUCAAGUCCGGGGUGAAAUCCUCCAGCUUAACUGGAGAAUAGCCUUGGAUACUGGUCGCCUCGAGUGAGAUAGGGGCGGGUGGAACUUCCGGUGGAGCGGUGAAAUGCGUAGAUAUCGGAAGGAACGCCGGUGGCGAAAGCGACCCGCUGGAUCUCUUCUGACGCUGAGGCGCGAAAGCCAGGGGAGCAAACGGG